UACGUAGGGUGCAAGCGUUGUCCGGAAUUAUUGGGCGUAAAGAGCUCGUAGGCGGUCUGUCGCGUCGGAUGUGAAAAUCAGGGCUCAACCCUGGACCUGCAUUCGAUACGGGCAGACUAGAGUUCGGUAGGGGAGACUGGAAUUCCUGGUGUAGCGGUGAAAUGCGCAGAUAUCAGGAGGAACACCGGUGGCGAAGGCAGCUCGCUGGGACGUGACUGACGCUGAGACGCGAAAGCGUGGGGAGCAAACAGG
rnacentral:rRNA from 1 species